AGCAGAUGGCCACAUGGGGACCAGUGAGUCCCAGAGCAAGAAUCAGCAGCUCAUCCCAGCACAACAGAGAUGAAUGAAAAGGAUUUUAAACAGACGAUGGAUACAGCAGCUUCAGGCAUCAUUUUCUCUCGAGACUUCAUGCAAAGUUCAACAUUGGGCAAAAUUAAAGGACAUUCUCAAGAUAAAUUGAUACACUUCAAACCGUCUGGAAUUCAAGCAGCUUUGAUUUUAAGUAAGUACUGUUUUCCUAUAUGCUUGUGGACAUUUUAGAGUGAUUAACAUAUAGGCCAUAAGGUAAACUAUAGAAAGAAUGGAAUUUAUGUAUUUUUAUUAUACUUCACACAAUCAAAAGAUUUUGUAUUCCUUUCCUAAAUGAG